UCCCGGCUAGCUCAGUCGGUAGAGCGUCAGACUCUUAUCACGAGAGCCUCCAAGGAUGACCUUGGACACAUCUGAAUGUCGAGGGUUCGAGCCCCUCGUUGGGAG